AUGUCAUUAAUUUGGUGUUAGCGGGAAGUUAGGACUGUUACUUUGAAAAAAUUAGAGUGUUUAAAGCAGGCUAUCGGCUUGAAUACAUUAGCAUGGAAUAAUGAAAUAGGACGUUUGAUCCUAUUUUGUUGGUUUCUAGGAUUGACGUAAUGAUUAAUAGGGAUAGUUGGGGGCAUUAGUAUUCAAUUGUCAGAGGUGAAAUUCUUGGAUUUAUUGAAGACUGACUACUGCGAAAGCAUUUGCCAAGGAUGUUUUCAUUAAUCAAGAACGAAAGUUAGGGGAUCGAAGACGAUCAGAUACCGUCGUAGUCUUAACCAUAAACUAUGCCGACUAGGGAUCGGUUGAUGUUAAUUUUUUAAUGACUCAUUCGGCGCCUU
rnacentral:rRNA from 1 species